rnacentral:tRNA from 1 species
UCUUUCUUGUUGCUCAGUCAGAGGAGCAUUGCACUAGCAAUGCAAAGGUCCUGGGUUCAAACCCCAAGGAAAGCA